GUGUGUGUGUGUGUGUGUGUAUGUAUGUGUAGUGUAGUGUGUGUAGUGUGUGUAUGUGUGUGUGUGUGUAGUGUGUAUGUAUGUGUAGUGUAGUGUGUGUAGUGUGUAUGUGUGUGUGUGUGUGUGUGUGUGUGUAGUGUGUGUGUAGUGUGUGUAGUGUGUGUGUAGUGUGUAGUGUGUGUGUGUGUAGUGUGUAGUGUGUGUAGUGUGUAGUGUGUAGUGUUGUGUAGUGUGUAUGGUGUAGUGUGUAGUGUGUAGUGUAGUGUGUGUAGUGUAGUGUGUAGUGUGUAGAAUGUGUACCUGUCCUUGAAAAACCUGUGCAGUCCGAAGGCCACUAGUUUCAGCAGGGUCUCGAUGAUGAAGAUACAGGUAAACAAGUAGUUACAGUACUUCAGAGCUUCCUCCAGAUACUGGACACACACAC
rnacentral:lncRNA from 1 species